UAAAGAUCUUAGUUUUUGUUCCUUGAAAGAAUUAUAUCUAUCACUCUACAUUACUUUUUAUUUAUUUAUUUAUUCCUUUCUUGGAAACGCAAAGAAUUUCAGAACAGGAAAGACGCCGAACUUUGAAGGGUGAUUCGGCAUCGGAAAAAAAGAAAAAGGGCGUCGUUUUACUUAGUUGAGAGUUGUUGAUGGAAUAAAUUAGUCGGCGGACGGAGAGCAUCAACUGUACCAAUUGAAGAAAGCGAGAAAAGAAAUGCGAUGCUUUGGAAGGCGGAACGAUUUCUCAAAAUAAAUUGACUGACUUAGAUUGAUGCUGGAACUCGAAGCAUCCACCUGUAAGAAGUUGAUGGAACUCUGAGCGUUUUGUUCGCUGAUCUUGACUUGUCUCCUGCUCGUUUCAUUCAACUUUGAAC